rnacentral:ncRNA from 1 species
AUCCCAGGAAUAACGGAUGGUUCCGGAUCGGCAUUUCGCUUUCCGGAUGAAAAGGGAAUGUGACGGGGUGGACCCACACCGGGCGCCUUCAUCACAGCCGACCCCGCGACUGUAGGGCGGUAAGGGUCUUCCAUCCGGCAUCGAACCCCUUCCGGCCUAGCCGCAAUCGUGCGGGCGGACAGGAUGGGCGACGUGCCGGAAAAGCCACUGGAAAUGCAUGGUGAUCAACCGGGGUCGGACGCCUCUAUCUCUACGAAUCGUCCACCUUUUCACCGAGGCAGCCGGGAAGGCGAGGCAGAUCCGCUGGCACGAUCAGGGGCAACCGGACUUCCGGUUCGCCCCGGUCGCGGCCGAUAACCGCGAGCCAGGAGACCUGCCUUCCGUGCCGGGCGAAA